rfam:Aspergillus clavatus NRRL 1 1099423829776 genomic scaffold, whole genome shotgun sequence.
UUCUUAUUAGCUCAAUGGUAGAGCAAAAUACUUCUAAUAUUUUGAUCCAAGUUCGAGUCUUGGAUAAGAAU